GAGGGUAUAGCUUAGUGGUAGAGCGCAUGCUUAGCAUGCACGAGGUCCUGGGUUCAAUCCUCAGUACCGCCA
rnacentral:tRNA from 1 species